rnacentral:rRNA from 1 species
AGAGACCGGCGCACGGGUGCGUAACGCGUAUGCAAUCUACCUUUCACAAAGGGAUAGCCCAGAGAAAUUUGGAUUAAUACCUUAUAGUAUAGCGACUUCGCAUGGAGAUGUUAUUAAAGAUUUAUCGGUGAAAGAUGAGCAUGCGUCCCAUUAGCUAGUUGGUAAGGUAACGGCUUACCAAGGCUACGAUGGGUAGGGGUCCUGAGAGGGAGAUCCCCCACACUGGUACUGAGACACGGACCAGACUCCUACGGGAGGCAGCAGUGAGGAAUAUUGGUCAAUGGGCGCAAGCCUGAACCAGCCAUGCCGCGUGCAGGAUGAAGGUCCUAUGGAUUGUAAACUGCUUUUGUACAGGAAGAAACACUCGGACGUGUCCGAGCUUGACGGUACUGUAAGAAUAAGGAUCGGCUAACUCCGUGCCAGCAGCCGCGGUAAUACGGAGGAUCCAAGCGUUAUCCGGAAUCAUUGGGUUUAAAGGGUCCGUAGGCGGCUUAAUAAGUCAGUGGUGAAAUCCCUACGCUUAACGUAGGAACGGCCAUUGGUACUGUUAGGCUUGAAUUAUUAGGAAGUAACUAGAAUAUGUAGUGUAGCGGUGAAAUGCUUAGAGAUUACAUGGAAUACCAAUUGCGAAGGCAGGUUACUACUAAUUGAUUGACGCUGAUGGACGAAAGCGUGGGUAGCGAACAGGAUUAGAUACCCUGGUAGUCCACGCCGUAAACGAUGGAUACUAGCUGUUGGGAGCAAUCUCAGUGGCUAAGCGAAAGUGAUAAGUAUCCCACCUGGGGAGUACGUUCGCAAGAAUGAAA